CCAGCAUUUAGUUAGGUAUUACUGCACUGUUGGAGCUAGGAACACCAGCAUUUAGUUAGGUAUUACUGCACUGUUGGAGCUAGGAACACCAGCAUUUAGUUAGGUAUUACUGCACUGUUGGAGCUAGGAACACCAGCAUUUAGUUAGGUAUUACUGCACUGUUGGAGCUAGGAACACCAGCAUUUAGUUAGGUAUUACUGCACUGUUGGAGCUAGGAACACCAGCAUUUAGUUAGGUAUUACUGCACUGUUGGAGCUAGGAACACCAGCAUUUAGUUAGGUAUUACUGCACUGUUGGAGCUAGGAACACCAGCAUUUAGUUAGGUAUUACUGCACUGUUGGAGCUAGGAACACCAGCAUUUAGUUAGGUAUUACUGCACUGUUGGAGCUAGGAACACCAGCAUUUAGUUAGGUAUUACUGCACUGUUGGAGCUAGGAACACCAGCAUUUAGUUAGGUAUUACUGCA